UUUGCCAUGGUAAGAUCCUCAGCUUCUGUCUUCGGCUUUAGAACAAAGCAGAAAUAACCAGCUCAUGACGACAUCAUAUGAGUCUUUUCAUCUUCACUUUAAUGUGCACUCUGCAAGGUCCCCCUUUAAUUCAACAUGAAAAGGAGGGAGGCCACACUGAGUCAUUAGUAGAGGAGAACUUGGGGGGUCAGUUCCAGCUGUGCUGCCUUGUCUGCCCUGAUGAACAUGGAAAUGGUCUUUGGAUUGGGAGCAACACAUAUCCCGUGGCACCAUUGAGGUUGAGGAAGGAGGAAGCCAUGGAGAAAACUCUUCACCCAGAAAAUGGAAGGUCACGGCCAGUGGCUCCCAGAGGGAGUCACUCCUCAAGAUUGAGAAGCGGGAAACCCUCUCUGCUGAAUACAUAGAAAACCUCUGGCCCGGUGCUCCUUCCAAUUUCACAAUUGCAUGAAAUUACCAAUAAAAAACCC